AGCAGCCGCGGUAAUUCCAGCUCCAAUAGCGUAUAUUAAAGUUGUUGCAGUUAAAAAGCUCGUAGUUGAAUUUCGGGAUCAAUUUAUCGGUCGUGCCAAUGGUAUGAACUGGUACAAUUGGUUUCUCCCUUCUGACGAAGCAUGAUGUCAUUAAUUUGGUGUCGUGGGGAAUCAGGACUGUUACUUUGAAAAAAUUAGAGUGUUUAAAGCAAGCAUUAGCUUGAAUACAUUAGCAUGGAAUAAUGAAAUAGGACGUUUGAUCCUAUUUCGUUGGUUUCUAGGAUCGACGUAAUGAUUAAUAGGGAUAGUUGGGGGCAUUAGUAUUCAAUUGUCAGAGGUGAAAUUCUUGGAUUUAUUGAAGACUAACUACUGCGAAAGCAUUCGCCAAGGAUGUUUUCAUUAAUCAAGAACGAAAGUUAGGGGAUCGAAGACGAUCAGAUACCGUCGUAGUCUUAACCAUAAACUAUGCCGACUAGGGAUCGGAUGAUGUUAAUUUUUUAAUGACUCA
rnacentral:rRNA from 1 species